rnacentral:lncRNA from 1 species
CUCUUGUAUGCUUAAAGUUCUCCAGUAAAAAGAAGUUAAAACAUUGAGAGUUUACACUGAAAAUUUGGAGAAGAAAAAUUAAAAAGAAACUUAAAAUAGAUGUAGACCACACACAAUGCACCCGGUUGCAAAAUCCAGUGCCAGAGAACCCCCGACUCAGCUCAGCCUGUCCACCCGUGAUUUUGGAAGACGCUCUCUGUAGCUCAGUCGUGAAUCUGGAGUGCACUCUGAAAUCUUCAACACAAUUGCCUCGGCCCACGUGAGGCAGAUGGUAGAGCCUUGCCUCAGUUGAAUUCAACACCAACUUAUUCUGUUAUUCUGGCCAACUCAUUUCACCUGUCCGGCAGAUUCUGGUAGAAUCUUUCUUUGAGCUCACAGGAAUGUAGUGAACAUUUGGGAGACUCUGAAGACCUGAAGAGUAUUAGAUGAAGAGGAUAUUUAAUGGUGACGUAGUGGAGGUGCUGUAAAGACAGAGAUUAGAGGCAGAUAUGGGUACAAGGACUCCCAGCAGACCCGCAGGCUCUCGGGAAGAAUCCAUUUCCUUGCCUUUUCCAGCUUCUAGAGGCCCCCCACAUUCCCUGGCUCACACCCCAUCUUCAAAGCCGGCAGCAGUGGAGAGACAAAGAUACUAACCAUGCUGAACCGCGCAUCUACUAAAAUAUGCUGAAGACUGAAAAAGAAAAAAUGUAAAUGAGCCCCUAGAAGAAAUCCUUUCAGUUCUUUUUUCAUCAGAAUGGUACCUUUCCACGGCUAAAGACACUCAAGACCUGCGUGCUCCUGUGUUCAGCCUCCCAGAUUUCCUGGGACAUCACGCAAAUUGUCUCUUCAAUCGCCUUUCACGCGUGUGUUAACCACGUCUUCACCGGGUUGCUGGCCCACUCUUUCUGUAGGACACCCUCUUGCAUAGCACACUCCUCCUAUAAAACGUGGACUUCUAUAAUAAUGUGGACUUCUCCUAUAAAACGUGGACUUCUAUAAUAACGAGGACUUCUCCUAUAAAACGUGGACUUCUAUAAUAACAUGGACUUCUCCCAUGUUUGUGUCAGUGAUUUCCUUUCCCUCUUAUCUCAAGCCUUCUUCUUUUUCUAUCACAUUUUCUAUCACAUUCUAUCUCAAUCUCCUUUUUCUAUCACAUUUCCUACAUUCGUGCCUGUGAGUUUAUGCAGCUAUUGAUGUUGUCAUACAGUCCAUAACAAUAAAUACAAAAUCCAUACUGAGAAGUCUAAUGCUUCACUACUGUAAAUGCUGUUCAGAAGGAUGAGCACAUGGAAGGCUAGUCCCUUCACUUCUGAGCAACAACGAGGGCAUCUCUAGGGUCGAUUAGAAUCCUCUCUUAUUCGUGACUGGCUCGCAAUCAGAGGACAAUAUUUCAGAGAGUGAAUACAGCAGUGCCCUUACAAGUCUACUGAAAUAGGAUCUAAAAAGCUGUAAAACUUAUCACAAAUAUUGCCACCUUUUUUAUCCAUUCAGGAAUUCCUGUUUUGAAGCCUUUAGCAUUAGUCAUGAAGCCAAAACAAAUUUUAAAAUAAGAGCAAAUUGUAAAAAAAAAAAGGAAAUUUUUCCCUACUGUACCAUUUCUAGGAAAUAAGUGGUUGAUAACCUACAGUACAUAUCACUGUGCCCAGCACAUCAAGAGCUCUCAGUCAAUGACUCUUGAAUGGAC